rnacentral:tRNA from 1 species
GCCCGGGUGGCGGAAUGGCAUACGCAGCAGCUUGAGGGGCUGUGUCUCUAUGAGACGUGCGGGUUCAAAUCCCGCCCCGGGCA